AAUGCCAACUUAGUUUUGAAUUUGUUAGUUUUUUUUCUGGGUUUAAAGUUGUGGUAGGUAGCUUGUAAAGUAUAUAUGUUGGAAGGGGUAGGUAGGUUGUAAAUAUUGAAGUUGUUUGUGGUUAGCUUUUGGUGGAUAUCCUAGUAGCCUCUGUGGUUUAAACUUAGCUUUCGUGAAAAGUUUGGGAAAAGUUUAAGAGAUUGGGCAAAACUUAUUCAGGGGAGUAAGUUUAGGGUUUGAUAGGAGGAGUAUACGACUAAUCAAAUCUAUUUAUGUUUUAGGGGCUUUAACGAUGGACAAGGGUUAGAUGAAACUUAGGAAUAAGUUUUUCGUUGACUGUAGAGGAGUUGCCCAAUUUUUAGAGGUUGCCAAGUCUCAAGUCGAUGAUUACAAACGAAUAAGGUGUCCAUGCAAGAGAUGUAUGAACUCAAAUUGAAACUCAUUAGAGGGGGUGUGGAACGACAUCUACUUACUAUUGGAAUAUCUUCUUACUACACAUAAUGAGUGUAUCAUGGAGAGUCAGUUAACUUGCAUAGAGGUACAAAAAACUUUGAUGAAUGAACUAGUAGUAACCCUUUUGAUGAAGAAACUAGUAGUAGCUACUUUCAUGAAGAAGAUGAAAUGAUUAGUAUGUUGAAUGAUUUACAAACUUCGAUUGAAUAGGAAGAGGAAACAGAGGAAGGUCGUUUGGAGAAUGAAAUGUCGUGUAAUAUUGAGGUAGAUAUAGAACAAGAACAAGAGACAACAAACAUAUUUUAGGACUUAUUGAAUGAAGCACGUAGUGAGCUAUAUCCUAGUUCAGAAUUUUCCUCCUUGAAUUUUUUGGUUAAGUUGAUGCAUGUCAAGGUUCUCAAUGGUUGGAGUAAUAAGUCCUUCGACAUGUUGUUAGAACUUUUAAGAAUAACGUUUCUAAUGUGUAGUAGUACUAUCCCUAGUUUAUUUUAUGAAGUCAAACGAAAAUUGUGUGACUUAGGCUUGGGAUACGAGACUAUUUAGCCGUGCAAGUACGACUAUGUGUUGUACUGGAAAGAGUUUGGCGAUUGGCAACAUUUUCCUACUUGUGGUGAGUUUUAGUACAAGGUUAGUCCUAACAGAGUGAAAAAAUUCUGCAUAAGGUAUUGCGUCACUUUCUCUUGGUAUCGAAAUUACAGCGCUUGUUUGUAUCACAAGAAGGGUUCGAUGACAAGAAAUGGUAUAGGGAUAAAUGUGUUGAAAUAGAUGAUGUGUUGAGACAUACAACGAAUAUGGAGGGGUGUAAGCACUUUAUUGUGAAUUUCUUGACUUCGCUUCAAAUUUACGGAACGUUCAUUUAAGAUUAGCUUCAGAUGAGUUUAAUCUAUUUGGUCAUAUGAGUACCUCGUACAGUAUGUGGCCUGUAGUAUUUAAUUCCUUACAAUUUGCCACUUCGAAAAUGCAUGAAAGAGUCAAAUUUCUUCAUGUCAUUGUUCAUACCUGGUCCUAGAACUCCUGGUAGGAAAAUUAAUGGCACAUGGAUUUCAGGUUAUAGAAUUGCUCAAACGCCAUAUAAGCAAUUGCUCAUAUGCCAUAUACGUACUAACAUAUUUGAACGCCUAUGUAUAUAAUCAUCGUCAUGUAGAUGUCAGGUUAUAGAAUUGCGUGAGACAAAAAAUCUGACUCAUGAUUUCUUCUUACUUGCGAUAGGACCAUCAUUUGAUGUUGGAUGCAUUGUCGAUGGGGUGAGAUUUCACACAGCAGAACGUGAUUCCUGAUGUACUAUACAAAAUAGUGGAGUCAUAGUAAUCGGUGAAAGUAUGGUCUGUCAAAGUGGCGACAACAAUUUCUAUGGUGUUCUAAAUGAAGUGUUCCACAUUCAAUAUCCGAUGGGAAGAUGUGCUUAGCUAUUUAAGUGUUGGUGGUAUAACACUAACAGCAACAAAAGCCAAAGGACACAUGUCGAAUUAGGGUACAAAUCAAUCAACAUGUCCCAUUUUUGAUUCGCCGAGGAAUCGGUCAUUCUCGUGAUGCAGGCACAUGAAGUAUUUUACCUAGAUGACCCAAAAAAUGGUACUAAUUAUAAAGUUAUCCAAGUGGUCCUGAAUAAGUGUAUAUGAGACGUGCAUGAAGUAGACGAUGUUGAGAAUGAGCAACUGAAUUUAUUGGAAAUCAUUGUUGACCAUUGAGUGGAUGAACACAUUGAGAAUGACACUCUCUGCAGGCCUGACGUGGAUCCUACAGUGGUUGGAAGACCGAUUGUGCGCCAUGUCACUGAUGACUUUAUAAACAAUUGUGACGAACAAUUGUCACAUCAAAGCGAAUCAAGCAACAAUGAAUGGUAGUGAUGAAUCACGUAUCCACAUAUUUGAUUAGUUUAUACUUCCAAUCUGAUUAGGUAUUCGUAUUUGUUUAAUGUUUGUUUCUAUGUCAUAGGUACUAUAUCAUCAUUCCCGAGUAGUUUUGAGGAGACAGAUGCGCUAUUUCUCGAGUUUGACGAUGAGUUAAAUAAUGCAGGAGGGUCGUCCUCAGUGGGCGACAAUUCGGCAUAAACUACUCAACCCUCUUUGACUCCUAGGAGACGUCAGUCGACUCUUGGAGUUGGAGAGGUACGUCCAUAACAAUGGUAGGAUUCUCAUCUCCAUAGCCCUUAGAGUGGAAAAGCCAAUAUCUCCACACGUUGUUUAGUUCAGCCAGGCCAUUGGCGUGUGUGUGAGACGUACAUUUCCAGUCUACUACCUUAGGUGGACUGAUGUUGGGAGAGAAUAUAUCAAGGUUGUCAAGGGCGAUCUACGGUGCUUUUUUGUGCUUGAUUUCAACGAUCAAGCAAUGAAUUGAUUUAUUGAGUAUCAAAUGCUCAUGUCUUUCAAGGAGUUCAGAGGCGACUGUCAUAGACAUUACAAAAAGUACAAGUGACUCUAAACAGGCACGUGCCAACCCACCGCACAUAUUGGUGGGACGUAUGGAAGAUUGACACUUCCUAUGCGAUCACUACCUGAGCCAUGCAUUUUAGACGAACAUGACUGCUAGACAAAAGCAACCUUACAAUCAUAGUAGCGGGUCCAAGUUAUUUCUAUAACAACAGUACGAGCUCACUGAGCAACGAGGUCAAUCAGUCAACUAUGUGGAGUUAUUCAAGGAAACACACAUUCGAGGUGGCACGUUCAUUUCGCAAGUCGUUGAGGAUGCACAUAAUCAAAUGCUAAAACUCCAAUCCCAGCCUACACUAGAGGGUUUUCAGCCACUCCCUGGGGACGAGAUAUGUGAGACCAUUUUGGGUAGACGAUCAGGCUACUCAAAAGGUCUUGGUUGGGGAUCCAAGCCUAAGUCCCGCAAGACCAGUGCUACCAGUUCUUCGACCUUAUUUUCGCAAGCCAGAGAGUAUGAAUUACAACAAGUCAUGAUUGAGAAGCAACGAGUCAAGCUUGAAGAAGCUAAACGCAUGAUUGAAGAACAGAUAAAGAUAUCAGAGCUGCUAACUUCAUAAAUGGAAGAAAUGAAGAAGAUGGUCAAAGAAAUGCAUCGGGCAUAGAGGGGACCAUGAUUGUUAUGUAUAUAUCUUUCGAUUAUUAAGUUUUUUACUUUGCAUUAUUCAAUGAUAUGUAUAUCUAAUAAACUUACUUUUUUUUCAUUGUAAGUUUGGAGUUGUUGUAAUAUGGUGCACGUGGCUAUUAGGAGGAACGUAUUGUUUUGAUUUUUAUGUACUUUUUUGAA